rnacentral:rRNA from 1 species
CAGUAGCCGCGGGAAUACGAAGGGGGCGAGCGUUGCUCGGAAUGACUGGGCGUAAAGGGCGCGUAGGUGGUACGGACAGUCAGAUGUGAAAUUCCCGGGCUCAACCUGGGGGCUGCAUUUGAUACGUCCGAACUAGAGUGUGGAAGAGGGUCGUGGAAUUCCCAGUGUGGAGGUGAAAUUCGUAGAUAUUGGGAAGAACACCGGUGGCGAAGGCGGCGACCUGGUCCAUUACUGACGCUGAGGCGCGAAAGCGUGGGGAGCAAACAGGAUUAGAUACCCGCGUAGUCCCUGUCUCUUAUAC